rnacentral:rRNA from 1 species
CCCUUAGAUGUUCUGGGCCGCACGCGCGCUACACUGAUGCAUCCAACGAGUCUAAAACCUGCUCUGAUAGGGGUGGGUAAUCUUUUGAAUGUGCAUCGUGAUUGGGAUAGAUGAUUGCAAUUUUUCAUCUUCAACGAGGAAUGCCUAGUAAACGCAAGUCAUCAGCUUGCAUUGAUUACGUCCCUGCCCUUUGUACACACCGCCCGUCGCUCCUACCGAUUGAAUGAUCCGAUGAAUAUCAUGGAUUGAGGAUUAUAGCAGGUUCGCCUGUCUUGAUCUUCGAGAAGUGAAGUAAAUCUUAUCAUUUAGAGGAAGGAGAAGUCGUAACA